AUUUCCGGUUGAUCCUGCCGGAGGUUACCGCUAUCGGGAUUCGAUUAAGCUAUGCGAGACGAGAGUCAUCUGGACUCGUCGAACUGCUCAGUAACACGUAGCUAACUUACCCUCAAGUGGAGGAUAAUCCUGCGAAAGUGGGGCUAACACUCCAUAGCUGUCAGGUGCUGGAACUGCUCUGACAGUCAAAACUUUUGUGCUUGAGGAUAGGGCUGCGGCCUAUCAUGGCUGUUGUGAGUGUAAUGUACUCACAAACCUGUAACGGGUAGGGGUCAUGAAAGUGAGAGCCUCGAGAUGCUUUCUGAGACAUGAAAGCAGGUCCUACGGGACGCAGCAAGCGCGAAACCUUUCCAAUUGCUAAACGGCUGAGAAGGGAAUCCUGAGUGGGUAUACAAUGUAUAUCCUUUUGUUUUGCCUCGAAAGCAAGACGAAUAAGUGGUGGGUAAGACGAGUGGCAGCCGCCGCGGUAAUACUCGCGCCACAAGUGGUAACCGCUGUUAUUGGGUUUAAAGCGUCCGUAGCUGGUCAAGCAAGUUCUUGGUGAAAUCUGGCAGUUGACUGUCAGGCGUGCUGAGAAUACUACUAGACUUGGGAUUGGGAGAGGGUAGGGGUAUUC
rnacentral:rRNA from 1 species